AAUGAACGCUAGUAGUAUGCUUAACACAUGCAAGUCGAACGUAAAGUUUUACACUUUCGUGGCGUACGGGUGAGUAAAUGCAGAAUUCUUCCUUCCAGUUCAGUACAAAAUUGCUUCUAGUAAUAAAUUCUGAAUAUUUUUAAAGGUUUAUUCCGCUGAAAGAUGAAUCUGCUUAAGAUUAGGUUGUUGGUAAUUUAAAAGUUUAACCAAGCCGAUGAUCUUUAGUUGGUCUGAGAGGAUGAUCAACCACACUGGAACUGAAACAAGGUCCAGGCUAAUUCGUUGGCCAGCAGUGAGGAAUAUUGGAGUCAAUGAACGAAAGUUUGAUCCAGC
rnacentral:rRNA from 1 species